CUACAUAGAGGGAAUGCUUACCUGCCUUCAAUGACUGCUAUGACCCAUAAUGAAAAUCAGUCAAGUUCUUGAACCAUCCUUAUGUACUAAUCAGCAUAGCACUACUUACCUUUGCAAAUGAUUUGUUUCAGUGAAAAAUAUUUUUAAAUAGCAGUAGCAGCUUUACAUUCAUGAAUUUUCAUAUGGAAAAGCUCCUCAGAUAUCAAAUGACUCAGAAACUACAGUGUUUUCACAGGAAAGGAAGCAGAAAGAAACAAUCUAAAACAAAUUCUCUCCAAGCAAAACUACAAUGGGAAAUAAAAGAGGCAACAGCAAACGAAGUAUAACAAAAGCAGUAUGAAUGCAUGUACCAGAAACUUUAACGUCAACUGAUCCUUCCUCUCCUAACCAACCAGCCCUGAAAAAAUCGUUUCAUGAUUUCUAGUUAGCAUUACGGUAGUAAAUACUCAAAGG